rnacentral:tRNA from 2 species
GUUAAUGUAGCUUAAAAAUAAAGCAAAGCACUGAAAAUGCUUAGAUGGACCUGAUGGUCCCAUAAACA